rnacentral:rRNA from 1 species
AUUGAACGCUGGCGGCAUGCUUUACACAUGCAAGUCGAACGGCAGCACGGACUUCGGUCUGGUGGCGAGUGGCGAACGGGUGAGUAAUACAUCGGAACGUACCCAGUAAUGGGGGAUAACUAUCCGAAAGGAUAGCUAAUACCGCAUACGCCCUACGGGGGAAAGAGGGGGAUCGCAAGACCUCUUGUUAUUGGAGCGGCCGAUGGCUGAUUAGCUAGUUGGUGGGGUAAAGGCCUACCAAGGCAACGAUCAGUAGCGGGUCUUAGAGGACGAUCCGCCACACUGGAACUGAGACACGGUCCAGACUCCUACGGGAGGCAGCAGUGGGGAAUCUUGGACAAGGGGCGCAAGCCUGAUCCAGCAAUGCCGCGUGCGUGAAGAAGGCCUUCGGGUUGUAAAGCGCUUUUGUCAGGGAGCAAAUCCUUGUGGCUAAUACCCACCGGGGAUGAGAGUACCUGAAGAAUAAGGACCGGCUAACUACGUGCCAGCAGCCGCCGUAA